AGGUAGAGAAGUCGUUUAGUAAUCAGAAAGUUGCUAGUUCGAUUCCCUGUCGAAGCGUCCUUGAGCAAGACACUGAACCCCUAAUUGCUCCUGAUGUGCAGUGUGCCAUCAGUGUAAAUGUAAAAAAAAUGUGUAUACAUCCUUGUAAGUCGCUUUGGAUAAAAGCGUCUGCUAAAUGACUAAAUGUAAAUGUUAACAUAAAAACCUCCAAACAAACACAUGGAAUCCCUUAAGAAAAAUCUUUAUUGGUAUGCUUUGGUCCAUUGCUUUUACACGAUUAUGUCAAGAAUCCUCAAGAACAAAAAACCCAGUUCUCUGUGUGGGUCUUUUAACAUUGAGUCCGCAUGUGCACAGAGAUACUCAUCUUCACUGUCGAGUUCAUAGACUGAUUAACGGAAAUGACAUUGUUUGAAAUGACAGUCCUACUCUCAAAGUCAAGAUUACAAGUACUGAAAAAGCAAUUUGGGUGCAACAGUAAAGGUAAGUGUUAUUAAUUGUAAAACAGUUAACAGUUGAAAAAGCUCAUUAGUUUUGCUCUGCAGUUUAUUAUCGUCAAUCAACAAAAAUGAUAAAUGAAGACAUGAAUUGCAUAUUAAUCGCACCCUAAAAUCGCUUCAGUGUGGCAACUCAGUUCAGAUAAUUUAUUUUGAAAUCCCAGCAGCUGCAAUGGGAAACAAAAUCAAUAAUUUAUGCUUUCUGCAGAAAACACACAACAGAGUCCAGUUUUUUCCAAUAUAUUGAAGUUUUCACGAGUGCCUUGAAUACUAAUCCACUGGCACAUGAAAAGAACAGGAAGUGAGGUCAUGAGCCCCACAGACUUAGAUUGGGAUGUGGCACUGAACAAGAUAAUAUCACUUUUAAGGCACUGAAAACAUGUAUAGAUAAAUUCAGUACUCUUACAUUUAGGUAUUGGACCAAAUAAACACAAAUAUAAAAUGGUGCCGAUUAUACAACAAAAGUGGAGAAAGAACAUUCCUAAUUCUAAAUUGUUCAAAUAACCAUUCUCUAAAACAUUCAACAACAUAAUUUUUGUAAUAUGCUAAUAUGUGUUACAUUAUCAACUGUACCAACCCCACAACACAAAGAGAGUAUACAAGAAGUAACAUUUCAGUGAGGUUGUUGUCUCGAUAGACAUUGUAAACAAACAUGUGUGCCGUUGUUCAAGAUAAAUGCAAUUGCACACCACUUCCAUGGUAUUUUCUGUUUAAAAAAUAAUAUUGUUCACAUGAUCUUCAUUACUACUGAAUAACUUUUCAAGAAAAGCAACUAGCCAUUUCAGUUCAUUUGUGACAGACACAUGGAAUGACGACCCGUAGUCUUAACUUUAUAUCUCCUUGAGGUUUCCUUCAUUCUCCCUUCUUCUUCUUGUCAUUCAUUCAUUAAUGCAUUCAAAUAGUCCUGGGAGUUAAAUAUUUAUUGAAAUAUAGGAUUAGGAAUCGAACCGUGAGGGAAUUUAGCUUAAAUUUUACAUGGGGUCUAUUUCAGCUAACCAAGUUCAAAAUGUCUGCCUCUAGGUGUGUGAUUUUUUCGUCAAUAAUUGGUGAAGUUAUGCCUAGCGCAAAAGCGACGAGCACGAAUGCCACAUCACAGCUCUUUGAAUCAUUGAUGAUGACUGAAUCAAAAUGUUCAACUUGACCUGACAGAAUUCGUUUUUAAUUAAGCAGCGAAAAUGACCGUGAAGUAAACAAGAUGCAUAUGGAAUGUCUCUCUUGAAUGUACUUUUCUAACAAAGUCACUUGACUCUUACUGUGCAAAAAGACAAAUAUACCAGUGAACUAUGACAGAACACAAUGAUCUGUGUGUGUGGUUUUCCCUUUUUUUUUUAUCAUGCAGAUUAGCAGUUUUUCUAUCCAAUCAAAAGGUCAAUACUAUCGGUCAACACUAUAGCCAUUCAUUGACUCUCAACAACAACAACAACGUCAGGGAUGCUUAUUAAAAAAAAAAAGCAUGGAAGCACAAAAAACUUAGUGGCACAAAAAACUGCUACAAAAGUUAUGCUACCAGUCGAUGCCAAAGGCCACAGAAGACCUACGAUCCUGCUAGCUUUUAGAAGGUUCACACACACACACACACACACACACACACACGCGCACACACACACACACACACACACACACACACACACAAUGAUCCUGCUCGCUUUUAGAAGGUUCACACACACACACACACACACACACACACACACACACACACACACACACACACACACACACACACACACACACACACACAAUGAUCCUGCUAGCUUUUAGAAGGUUUUCACUGCAUAAAAUGUACAAAAAUGCAGGCUGACUUUGGUACCAAAGGCCAGUGCCUAUGACACACUAAGCAUCACACAAUCCACCAUGAUCCUGCUAGCUUUUAGAAGGUUCACACACACACACACGCGCACACACACACACACACACGCACGCACAUAUACACACACACACAAUGAUCCUGCUAGCUUUUAGAAGGUUCACACACACACACACGCACACACACAUAUACACACACACACACACACACACACACACACACACACAAUGAUCCUGCUAGCUUUUAGAAGGUUCACACACACACACACACGCACACACACGCACACACACGCACACACACACACACACGCACACACACGCACACACACGCACACACACACACACACACACACACACACACACACACACAUAUACACACACACACACACACACACACACACACAAUGAUCCUGCUAGCUUUUAGAAGGUUUUCACUGCAUAAAAUGUACAAAAAUGCAGGCUGACUUUGGUACCAAAGGCCAGUGCCUAUGACACACUAAGCAUCACACAAUCCACCAAUCCACAAUCUCUCACAAUGAAAUGUUGACACAUUUGUUUUAAUGAUUAUCAAAUGCAUCUGCGUUGGGUAGAUCCUGUAUUUGGCAGACAAUCCCCCCCACCUAAGACCAUCUCUGGCUCCCGAUGCGAUCAAUACGCUACAUAUUCUGGAACAGUCUUAAGAGGAAAUACUGAUGAUGAAACUAAAGACUAAUGGCUUGAAUGUGCAAAAAAUGCCUCCCCUUUAAUGGCCAAUUCAGGGUUGGGGGGGGGAGUUAA
ensembl:lncRNA